UACGUAGGGUGCAAGCGUUCAUCGGAAUUACUGGGCGUAAAGCGUGCGCAGGCGGUCUUGCAAGACAGAUGUGAAAUCCCCGGGCUUAACCUGGGAACUGCAUUUGUGACUGCAAGGCUGGAGUGCGGCAGAGGGGGAUGGAAUUCCGCGUGUAGCAGUGAAAUGCGUAGAUAUGCGGAGGAACACCGAUGGCGAAGGCAAUCCCCUGGGCCUGCACUGACGCUCAUGCACGAAAGCGUGGGGAGCAAACAGG
rnacentral:rRNA from 1 species